UGGGGAAUUUUGGACAAUGGGGGAAACCCUGAUCCAGCCAUCCCGCGUGUGCGAUGAAGGCCUUCGGGUUGUAAAGCACUUUUGUCAGGAAAGAAACGUCAUGGGUUAAUACCCCGUGAAACUGACGGUACCUGCAGAAUAAGCACCGGCUAACUACGUGCCAGCAGCCGCGGUAAUACGUAGGGUGCAAGCGUUAAUCGGAAUUACUGGGCGUAAAGUGUGCGCAGGCGGUUCGGAAAGAAAGAUGUGAAAUCCCAGAGCUCAACUUUGGAACUGCAUUUUUAACUACCAGGCUAGACUGUAUCAGAGGGAGGUGGAAUUCCGCGUGUAGCAGUGAAAUGCUUAGAUAUGCGGAGGAACACCGAUGGCGAAGGCAGCCUCCUGGGAUAACACUGACGCUCAUGCACGAAAGCGUGGGGAGCAAACAGG
rnacentral:rRNA from 1 species